rnacentral:misc_RNA from 1 species
GAUGAAGAACGUAGCGAAAUGCGAUAAGUAGUGUGAAUUGCAGAAUUCAGUGAAUCAUCGAAUCUUUGAACGCACAUUGCGCCCCUUGGUAUUCCAUGGGGCAUGUCUGUUCGAGCGUCAUUUCACCACUCAAGCCUCGCUUGGUAUUGGGCAACGCGGCCCGCCGCGUGCCUCAAAUCGACCGGCUGGGUCUUCUGUCCCCUAAGCGUUGUGGAAACUAUUCGCUAAAGGGUGCUUGGGAGGCUACGCCGUAAAACAAACCCAUUUCUAAGGUUGACCUCGGAUCAGGUAGGGAUACCCGCUGAACUUAAGCAUAUCAAUAAGCGGAGGA